rnacentral:rRNA from 1 species
CCUACGGGGGGCUGCAGUGGGGAAUAUUGCACAAUGGGCGCAAGCCUGAUGCAGCCAUGCCGCGUGUGUGAAGAAGGCCUUCGGGUUGUAAAGCACUUUCAGCGGGGAGGAGGGCGGUGAGGUUAAUAACCUCAUCGAUUGACGUUACCCGCAGAAGAAGCACCGGCUAACUCCGUGCCAGCAGCCGCGGUAAUACGGAGGGUGCAAGCGUUAAUCGGAAUUACUGGGCGUAAAGCGCACGCAGGCGGUCUGUCAAGUCGGAUGUGAAAUCCCCGGGCUCAACCUGGGAACUGCAUUCGAAACUGGCAGGCUAGAGUCUUGUAGAGGGGGGUAGAAUUCCAGGUGUAGCGGUGAAAUGCGUAGAGAUCUGGAGGAAUACCGGUGGCGAAGGCGGCCCCCUGGACAAAGACUGACGCUCAGGUGCGGAAGCGUGGGGAGCAAACAGGAUUAGAUACCCCUGUAGUC